UGCAGGCUCUGAUUAUCCUCUCACUGCCGGUGAACGUUCCCGACAUCCUGAGCAUGAUCUGCUCCAGCUGCCUCCUCUCCUGCCCGCCACACAGCUGAGGUCAGAAGGCAGCUGGGGAAAGAAUGUCUACAUUUACCAAAGGAAGACUGAAUUGGGUUUUUUUUUUUUUGUCUUUUUAGUAAAAUAGCAGUUGGAGGGGCUUUAACGCUCCAGGUGUUGCUUAUGUGAACUGUCAUUUCAUUAGGAAAACCACAGACGUGGGAACGCAGCAGCUGGGAGGCCAUUACUCUGUGUCUGAAUCUUCUGGAGUUCUAGCAAAAUGAAAUCCAUGUGAUGAAAAUGACCAGAUAUAAACAAGCCAAGUGGUCACAAACCGAUUCAACAAAUACCCUGCGAUUUGUGCCUGCACUCUGUUCUGUGUAGUUUCUUCAAGGAUUUUUAAAAAACUUUUGUGAUAAUGUUUA